AGAGUUUGAUCCUGGCUCAGGAUGAACGCUAGCGGCGUGCCUAACGCAUGUAAGUCGAACGUGAUCCCUUGGAUUUAUCUAGGGGUGAAAGUGGCGCACGGGUGAGUAACACGUGGGCGACCUGCCUCAGAGAGGGGGAUAACCAUUGGAAACGAUGGCUAAUACCCCAUGCUAUCUCAAACCUUUAAAUGGUUGGGAUGAAAGCUCCGGCGCUCUGAGAGGGGCCUGCGGCCCAUCAGCUUGUUGGUAGGGUAACGGCCUACCAAGGCUAUAACGGGUAGGGGACCUGAGAGGGUGACCCCCCACACUGGUACUGAGACACGGACCAGACUCCUACGGGAGGCAGCAGCGAGGAAUAUUGCGCAAUGAGCGAAAGCUAGACGCAGCAACGCCGCGUGGAUGAUGAAGGCCUUCGGGUCGUAAAAUCCUUUUCUGGGGAAAUAGAAAGGAAGGUACCCCAGGAAUAAGAGUCGGCUAACUACGUGCCAGCAGCCGCGGUAAAACGUAGGACUCGAGCGUUAUCCGAAUUUAUUGGGCGUAAAGCGCGUGUAGGCUGUUUGAUAAGUUGGACGUUAAAGCUCCCGGCUCAACUGGGAGAGGCCGUUCAAAACUAUCAGACUUGAGGACAGCAGAGGGGAGUAGAAUUCCGGGUGUAGUGGUGAAAUGCGUAGAUAUCCGGAGGAAUACCAGUGGCGAAGGCGGCUCCCUGGGCUGUUUCUGACGCUAAGACGCGAAAGCAUGGGUAGCGAACGGGAUUAGAAACCCCGGUAGUCCAUGCCGUAAACGAUGGAUACUGGGUGUUGGGGGUAACCAUUCCUUCAGCGCCGAAGCUAACGCGUUAAGUAUCCCGCCUGGGGACUACGGUCGCAAGACUAAAACUCAAAGGAAUUGACGGGGGCCCGCACAAGCAGCGGAGCGUGUGGUUUAAUUCGAGUCUACACGAAGAACCUUACCUGGGUUUGACAUAUUGGUGGUAGGAAGCCGAAAGGCAACUGACCCUUCGGGGAGCCAUUACAGGUGCUGCAUGGCUGUCGUCAGCUCGUGCCGUGAGGUGUUCGGUUAAGUCCGGUAACGAGCGCAACCCUCGCCAUUAGUUACAAGUGUCUAAUGGGACUGCCGGCAAAAAGCCGGGGGAAGGUGGGGAUGAUGUCAAGUCAGCAUGGCCUUUAUAUCCAGGGCUACACACACGCUACAAUGGCCGGUACAAUGGGUAGCCAAGCCGCGAGGCGGAGCCAAUCCUCUAAAGCCGGUCUCAGUUCAGAUUGUAGGCUGCAACUCGCCUACAUGAAGUCGGAGUUGCUAGUAAACGCAGGUCAGCUAUACUGCGUUGAAUACGUUCCCGGGCCUUGUACACACCGCCCGUCACGUCAUGGAAGCUGGUCACGCCUGAAGUCAGUGAGUUAACCUAACGGAGACAACUGCCCAAGGCAGGGCCGGUGACUGGGACGAAGUCGUAACAAGGUA
rnacentral:rRNA from 1 species